UACAGAGGUCUCAAGCGUUGUUCGGAUUCAUUGGGCGUAAAGGGUGCGUAGGCGGCGCGGUAAGUCGGGUGUGAAAUCUCGGAGCUUAACUCUGAAACUGCAUUCGAUACUGCCGUGCUUGAGGACUGGAGAGGAGACUGGAAUUUACGGUGUAGCGGUGAAAUGCGUAGAUAUCGUAAGGAAGACCAGUGGCGAAGGCGGGUCUCUGGACAGUUCCUGACGCUGAGGCACGAAGGCCAGGGGAGCAAACGGG
rnacentral:rRNA from 1 species